rnacentral:rRNA from 1 species
AACGAACGCUAGCAGCGUGGAUUAGGCAUGCAAGUCGCGCGCGAAAGUCUUCGGACGAGUAAAGCGGCGAAAGGGUGAGUAACACGUAACCAACGUACCCCUCAGACUGGGAUAACCACUGGAAACGGUGGGUAAGACCGGAUGGUCCUAAGAGAUGACAUCAUCUCUGUGGUAAACGGUGGCUUCGGCUGCUGCUGAGGGAGCGGGUUGCGGCCUAUCAGCUAGUUGGUGAGGUAACGGCUCACCAAGGCUAUGACGGGUAGCAGGUCUGAGAGGAUGGUCUGCCACACUGGGACUGAGACACUGCCCAGACUCCUACGGGAGGCUG